rnacentral:rRNA from 1 species
GACGAACGCUGGCGGCGUGCCUAAUACAUGCAAGUUGAGCGCUGAAGGUUGGUACUUGUACCGACUGGAUGAGCAGCGAACGGGUGAGUAACGCGUGGGGAAUCUGCCUUUGAGCGGGGGACAACAUUUGGAAACGAAUGCUAAUACCGCAUAAAAACUUUAAACACAAGUUUUAAGUUUGAAAGAUGCAAUUGCAUCACUCAAAGAUGAUCCCGCGUUGUAUUAGCUAGUUGGUGAGGUAAAGGCUCACCAAGGCGAUGAUACAUAGCCGACCUGAGAGGGUGAUCGGCCACAUUGGGACUGAGACACGGCCCAAACUCCUACGGGAGGAAGCAGUAGGGAAUCUUCGGCAAUGGACGAAAGUCUGACCGAGCAACGCCGCGUGAGUGAAGAAGGUUUUCGGAUCGUAAAACUCUGUUGGUAGAGAAGAACGUUGGUGAGAGUGGAAAGCUCAUCAAGUGACGGUAACUACCCAGAAAGGGACGGCUAACUACGUG